UUUUCAGAAGGUCAUCAGUUAGCGAAACGGGAGUGGACAAGCAGCAGCGUUACUUGCAUAUAUAAGAAACGUUGGCAAGCACUGAAACGUGAAGACGUGCCAAUUAAACGAGGUGCUUUUUUAGCCAUCAGCUAUGUUUUGGCUAAAAUGUGUUACGGUCUGCACGGUACUUUUGAGAGUUCAUUGCUACAUCCCGUACUACGGGAACCGCUGCACUGAAGAACCUGCCGAUGUAUACAUCUACCCAAAUUACGGUGACGGCGACCAACCGAAGCCACCUGAAAUCGGCCACAGCUACAUAGCGAAGUACGAAAUGAAUACCAUCGACGCCAACCACCCAGCGUGGGUCGAAGAGUAUUUUGACUACGAGGGAAAGAGAGCGAAAAUAUCAGCGUCUGUUCUAGGCGUAGAGUUUGUCGACAUUUACGAUUACGGCAGAGGCACUGUCACGUCGUAUCGACUAUCCAGAAGAGAGAGCAGUGGUUGGAGUUCGAAGAUUGAAGACACCUGCGAGACAGUUGAAAUGGCGAAGUUCAAGCCGGCGUUUCCAAUUUUGUCGUACCCUUAUUCUAAGGAAGCUAAAUCUGGCCCACAGCCUAUGGCCACGUCCAACCGAGCAUUGAAGUACGGCCCUCCGUACAACUAUACCUACAUGGAACUAUACAUUGGCAAAGAAACCCGAAACGAACAAUCAGACCUUUUCAGGGGCUGCGUAAAUGAAGAACAUCUGAAUUUUUCCAUUCGCUCGAACUUCUAUUGGGGACGCGCCCUACCAUUUUCUUAUCCAAGCGGAGAAGAGCGAGUCCCACUUUAUAUUGAAAUGAGGGGACCGGAUUUAAAUAAUAAUGCGAAAGAAAUAUACACGAUGAUGUAUGUUUCGUGGUUCCAAAAAGACCCAGAGUUCAGUUUUGACACGUUUCAGGUUCCAAAAGGACUGCACUGCGACUACUCGCCCAAUAGAGGGCGCUUGCCCAGCAUGCCCUCGUCGUUUAGCUACGGUGUUGAAGAGACUGUAUUUCAACUUGAUGGCAGUGGCUUUCUGAAAGGUGGCUUUGCUUCGCUUUCAUACAAAAAGGUGUGGUACGAUAGCGAGCUAAAACUCGCAAGAAUUGAUAUGAGACCGUCGAAAGAAGACCUAAAGUCAGAACUACGAUCGGUGGGCGACUCGCCUGGGUUUAUCUCUGUCAUAUUCGACCUGAAAACAGGCUUUACUUAUGUUGGAAGCGUUGCAGAAUCGAAAUGCCUGUUAGUGGACAAGCAGAAGACUCAUUUUUGGAAGCACCCUAACGGCUCUCUGAAAACGUCUGACGAAUUCUUCGGCAUCAGCGCAAAUCUGCAAUACAAGGGAAAAGCUACCAUAAUGGGCGCUGAAGCUAUGACAUGGACAGAGGUAGUCAAAGGUGCCGGAAAGUCCUCAACAAUAAAAAGGGACAUGUCUUUUGCGUCGUAUGACACAAGAAAAGACACAUACAGUAAUAAGCACGUCUUUUCUUUGAUUCAAGAAGCAAUCUACGAGGAAGAGGACACGCAGCAAAAUCGGUCUGGGGAGUUUCCAAACCAGAAUGUCAUCAUCAGAAACUACCUUUAUUUCAACUCCUUUGCGCCAGAGCAAGAUGUAUUCAGCCCGCACGCUUGUCUGCCGGAAAAGCCUGCAGGCUCGUACUACAUAAACUUCAAACCUUUGAAGGCCUGCACUUUGGACGCUGCCAACAGGACAAGGUUUUUAGCAGCUUUUCGCAACGCACUUAGAAUUUCUACAAAGUUGAGCACCAUUCUGGCUGUCCAAAAUUUUCACUUCAGGUGGUACAACGGGAACGGAACGUCAGUAGGAUUCACCUUUCAUGAAGACAUUCCGGGAGAGAAGUCCACCGAGUCAAAGUUUAGCACAAUAGCCAAGCAAAAAGCAGAAGGAGACCAAAAGCCUUUGACAGUAAGCUUUCGGUUGACGGCGGCGUCUGAAAUGAAUGAGUGUACCUGGCAAUCAUAUCUGUUUCACAAACAGCGACUCACUGUGCUCCAGCCAACUACAACGCCAUCCCCAGGUAUGGCGGUCUAAUCGAAGCGCUACAAUUUAGUCUACGUUGCAUGCGCGCAGCUGUAAUGACUCGGAUCUCGGGAUUUCCUUGUCUCCGUCGACAGAAGAGUCUACAGAAAACCAUUCCACGAGUAGAAGCGAAAGGUUGGUCCGGUAUUACACCACCCGCAGGAUCAGCCCACAUUUUGCCCACGGACAUCGACACGAAAAAUGCCGACCAACGAGAAACUAACAGCUUCGCGGUAAAACAACUGUUAUGAUACCGGCCUGUUCUCUCAAGCUCUCAAGAAAAAAGCUUCACGUUAAUUGCUUUGCAACGAGGUGUCACCUCGUUCACGUCAAUUUUUGGUGAUGCUAGCUUGCUGAACUAACAUACUGAAGUCAAGCCAAGCCAAUGUCAUUGUGUGGCUCUGGCAGCACCUCUUUUUUUAUAAACAUCACCAGCACCCCACUAGCAAAUGGCUUAGAGUAGAGCUGUUAGUACA